CAGCAGCCACGGUAACACGAAGGGGGCUAGCGUUGCUCGGAAUUACUGGGCGUAAAGGGAGCGUAGGCGGGUCGUUAGUCAGAGGUGAAAUCCCGGGGCUCAACCUCGGAACUGCCUUUGAUACUGGCGACCUUGAGUAUGGGAGAGGUGAGUGGAACUCCGAGUGUAGAGGUGAAAUUCGUAGAUAUUCGGAAGAACACCAGUGGCGAAGGCGACUCACUGGCCCAUUACUGACGCUGAGGAGCGAAAGCGUGGGGAGCGAACAGGAUUAGAUACCCCCGUAGUCCCUGUCUCUUAUACA
rnacentral:rRNA from 1 species